rnacentral:rRNA from 1 species
UUAAAGUCUGACCUGCCCACUGAAAUUUUAAAUGGCCGCAGUAUUCUAACUGUGCAAAGGUAGCAUAAUCAUUAGUCUUUUAAUUGAAGGCUGGAAUGAAUGGUUGGACGAAAUAUUAACUGUUUCAUUUUAAUUUAUAAUAGAAUUUUAUUUUUUAGUCAAAAAGCUAAAAUUUAUUUAAAAGACGAGAAGACCCUAUAAAUCUUUAUAUUUAAUUUAUUAUUAUUAUAAAGAUUAUUUUUAUUUUAAUAAAUUUAAAUAUUUUAUUGGGGUGAUAUUAAAAUUUAAAAAACUUUUAAUUUUAAAAAUCAUUAAUUUAUGAAUUAUUGAUCCAAUUAUAUUGAUUAAAAAUUUAAGUUACUUUAGGGAUAACAGCGUAAUUUUUUUGGAGAGUUCAUAUCGAUAAAAAAGAUUGCGACCUCGAUGUUGGAUUAAGAUAUAAAUUUGGGUGUAGCCGUUCAAAUUUUAAGUCUGUUCGACUUUUAAAUUCUUACAUGAUCUGAGUUCAAACCGGCGUAAGCCAGGUUGGUUUCUAUCUUUAAAAAAUUAUAAUAUUUUAGUACGAAAGGACCAAAUAUUAAAAUAAUUAUAUUUUUAAAAAGAAUAUUAUUAAUUUAA